rnacentral:ncRNA from 1 species
GCCAGCUUAAACAUGAUUACCUCGGUGUAGAGAGGUUUUUCAGCCUUGCCGAGAUGUGCAGUAACGAGAUAGAUAAAUUCGGGAUACUGGAUUUAUUGAUUCUUUCCUCAGAGAGUGAUCCUGCGGAGAAGAUGGAAACCGUCAACAAUGCUGUGCAGUGUAUCAUCAUAGAGAAAAUCAAAAGCAGAAUCCUUGUGGUCGGCGUAGAAAAGACGCUUACGGUGUAAGAAUAAUCCAUUGAUGUCGGCAGUGUGAGAGACUACGGACUAAAUGGAACUCUAAAAGAAGUCGAUUUGCCUUGAACCUGAGAAAUCGGGGUAUAACACAAGAAAUUCGUUAAAGUAGCGGUAUGGCAGCAAACAAAAAGUUUCCUCAAUAGAGUAUUGAGUUUUUAAAACAUCUGAAAGAACCGUGAAAUUUGCAGGUGAAAUCCUGCAUGUGCUUUGACCGCGGCAAGAAGCAUAGGGUCGCUCCCGAAAGCUCAGACUUGUCGUCACAUUGGUUGAAUAUGAUUGCAUCGUCGAUGAAUAAGGGGAAGCCCUAAUCAUGUUUAUUUUGGAGU